CUACGGGGGGCUCCAGUAGGGAAUAUUGGACAAUGGGCGAAAGCCUGAUCCAGCAACGCCGCGUGCGCGAUGACGGCCUUCGGGUUGUAAAGCGCUUUUAGAGGAGAUGAGAAAGGACAGUAUCCUCUGAAUAAGCCUCGGCGAACUACGUGCCAGCAGCCGCGGUAAACGUAGGAGGCUAGCGUUAUCCGGAUUUAUUGGGCGUAAAGCGCGUGCAGGCGGUCUAGCAAGUUGGAUGUGAAAGCUUCUGGCUUAACUGGGAGAGGUCGUUCAAUACUGCUAGACUAGAGAAUGGGAGAGGGAGGUGGAAUUCCGGGUGUAGUGGUGAAAUGCGUAGAUAUCCGGAGGAACACCAGUGGCGAAAGCGGCCUCCUGGACCACUUCUGACGCUAAGACGCGAAAGCUAGGGUAGCAAUCGGGAUUAGAUACCCGGGUAGUC
rnacentral:rRNA from 1 species